ACUUGGAAACAAAGGAAAAAUAUUAGUGUGUGAGAGUGUGUGUUAUAAUCAAACCAGGAAUGAACAAGUGUUUGAAUAACCAGUCUAAUCUAAACAAAUAA